UGUAAUAGUGAUGAGAUGAGUUAAAGUAAACUAACUCGAACGAAUUUAACAUCUAGCACGGUAUAAAUUAACGUAUUUUUUUUUCUAACAUGACGACGCUAACAUUUUCUAAAGCAUUGAAUAAUUUUUUACUUUUAGUAAAACCUGUCUAAAGCAUUGAUUUCGUUUAACAUGAUAAUUUGGUUUACGAUGGAUUUGAAAAUUAGGUACACAGAAUGUAAAUAUUGUGGGCGUCGUUCUAGUAAAUAGAACGUUAGGUGAAGCAAAGUUCCUUCAAGUCAUUAUGGUUAAUUGUCUAUGUCCACUAUGCUCCAUUUGAUAGUUACACUAUACAUUUUUUAGUUUAUUAUGUGAUCCAAUAGAAGUUAAACAAAUAAGAUUUUUCUAAUAAGAUGCUUAAUAUAUUCGGUCAUAAUUAGCACCAUAUAAGAAGUACAACCAACUUCUUUUGAAUAUUUAUUUAAUGAAAUGGACCCUUGUGUGAUCUUAGCAUCAUUAUGAAAUAAUACGUGCUAAUAUAAUCAAAACAUUGAUGAUUCAAAUCGUUUCAUCUGCUUAAUAUAUAACCACAAGAUAACAUAAUCCACUACGUAAUACAAUGGCCGCCAGGGAUUUCAUAAUCUUAUUAAACUGUUGGACAAGUACUUAUUUACAAAAUAUGGGCUUAUAAAUUAUUUAUUCAGGCUUAUUUGGUUUUAUUCUAGUCUAUAAAAAUGUUUUAGAAAAAACAUUUCUACAAAACUGAAUCCGCACUCAACAUCAAUCAAAAUGUAUUAUUGGUUGAACCUGGAUAUUUAUAUGCUUGCUGAACAAAAACAAAACUUAAAACUCGAAAUGUACACACUGCAAUAUUAACCACACAAAGAAAAGAAUAUUCAGCUGAAAAAUAACAGUUAAGCGGAUCCUAACAAUUGACAGCCUAAAUCUUUUAUUCAACUUUAAAAUCUCCAAUCUGAUUGGAACCAGUCCGAUUAAUCCGGUCAAAAAUCCGAUGCAACCAAGUCAAUGCAAACCAGGUCAAAGAUAAAUAGGUGAUGAUGAUAUGGAUUUUGAAGUCAAGUCAAAUAAAAGUUUAAAAUUUUGGAUUAAGGUCAAUUCAACAUUUCUUGGCAAUUCUUCGUAAUUAUCUUAAUGUGCGUGUAUGUGAACACACAAAAUAUACCAUAGGUGGGAAAAAAUAAUGCAUUA